rnacentral:lncRNA from 1 species
GACAGAUCACAGCCCAGCCCGGGCAGCACGGAGUGACAGUGUGUGAGAAUACCGGGUCUGUCUGUCUCCAUGGUAACAAUCUCCUACUGACACAACAUAUCCACCAUAACCACACCAUAUCCACCAUAACCACACCAUAUCCACCAUAACCACAACAUAUCCACCAUAACUACACCAUAUCCACCAUAACCACACCAUAUCCACCAUAACCACAACAUAUCCACCACAUAACCACAACAUAUCCACCACAACCUCAAUAAACAUAUCCACCAUAACCACAACAUAUCAACCAUAACCACAACAUAUCCACCAUAACUACAACAUAUCCACCAUAACCACAACAUAUCCACCGUAACCACAACAUAUCCACCAUAACCACAACAUAUCCAAUCGUGAACUACAACAUACAUCCAACACCAUAACCACAAUAUAGCCACCAUAACCACAACAUAUCCACCAUAACUACAACAUAUCCACCAUAACCACAACAUAUCCACCAUAACUACAACAUAUCCACCAUAACCACAACAUAUCCACCAUAACUACAACAUAUCCACCAUAACCACAACAUAUCCACCGUAACCACAACAUAUCCACCAUAACCACAACAUAUCCACCGUAACUACAACAUAUCCACCAUAACCACACUAUAUCCACCAUAACUACAACAUAUCCACCAUAACCACAACAUAUCCACCAUAACUACAACAUAUCCACCAUAACCACAACAUAUCCACCAUAACUACAACAUAUCCACCAUAACUACACUAUAUCCACCAUAACCACAACAUAUCCACCAUAACCACAACAUAUCCACCAUAACCACAACAUAUCCACCAUAACUACACUAUAUCCACCAUAACCACAACAUACCCACCAUAACUACAAUAUAUCCACCAUAACUACAACAUAUCCACCAUAACCACAACAUAUCCACCAUAACUACAACAUAUCCACCAUAACCACAACAUAUCCACCAUAACCACAACAUAUCCACCAUAACCACAACAUAUCCACCAUAACCACAAUAUAGCCACCAUAACCACAACAUAUCCACCAUAACUACAACAUAUCCACCGUAACCACAACAUAUCCACCGUAACUACAACAUAUCCACCAUAACUACAACAUAUCCACCAUAACUACAAUAUAUCUCAGGGUCCUGGUACUAUAACUACAAUAUAUCUCAGGGUCCUGGUAUUAUAACUACAAUAUAUCUCAGGGUCCUGGUAUUAUAACUACACUAUAUCUCAGGGUCCCGGUAUUAUAACUACAAUAUAUCUCAGGGUCCCGGUAUUAUAACUACACUAUAUGUCAGGGUCCUGGUAUUAUAACUACACUAUAUCUCAGGGUCCCGGUAUUAUAACUACAAUAUAUCUCAGGGUCUUGGUAUUAUAACUACACUAUAUCUCAGGAUCCUGGUUUUAUAACUACAAUAUAUCUCAGGAUCCUGGUUUUAUAACUACAAUAUAUCUCAGGAUCCUGGUUUUAUAACUACAAUAUAUCUCAGGAUCCCGGUUUUAUAACUACACUAUAUCUCAGGGUCCCGGUAUUAUAACUACAAUAUAUCUCAGGGUCCCGGUAUUAUAACUACACUAUAAUCCUUGUGAUCCCGCAUUAUAACUACAAUAUAUCUCAGGUCCUGGUAAUAUAACCACAAUAUAUUUUAGGGUCCCAAGCAUUAUAACUACAAUAUAUUUCAGGGUCCCGUAUUAUAACUACAAUACAUUUUAGGUCCUACAUUAUAACUACAAUAUAUCCUUGUAGUCCUGCAUAUUAUAACUACAAUAUAUCCUCACCCUCACAACUACACCAUAUCCCACAGGGUCCCAGUAACUACAAUAUAUCUCAGGGUCCCGGUAAUUAUAACUACAAUAAUAUAUCCACCAAUAACUACAACAUAUCCUUCAUAGGGUCCCAGUAAUAAGUACCACAAUAUAAUCUCAGGGUCCUGGUGUACUAUAACUACAAUAUAUCCUUGUGGGUCCUGGUUUUAUAAGUAACUACAAUACUCUAGGUCCUGGUGGCUAUUAUUUUUUUUUUUUGCAAAUCUUUUUAUUGAAGGGUAAAAAGUUAGGGAACAGAGAUCGAGGCUCGCAGGCCCCAUAAAAGUAUUUUGGCAUAUUAAAGCGCAAACCGGUUAUCAAUUUAAUACAAUAUAUGAUCAAUAAGAGUGCGAUACAGUGUUUAAUUACAACAUUAUAAGGCAUUACUAUUGUGUAUCCGUCUUGUGCACCUACGGCAUAGGGAUUUUCACCCUUUGAUCAGAGUCAGGCCAUACCCAUGCUUAUAUGGGUGUUUUUAUGUUCUAUGUUUGAGGCCUGACCUCCUCUAUAUGUUUAUGCGUGUGUCGUUUUCUUUCUCCAGCUACAGUUUUUGUAUUCCCGAGCGGGUGGGUUUAUCAGGUGGGAGUGAGUGGUAUGGUUAGAGUAAGGAGAGGAAAGAGAAAAAGAGGGGUAUGUUAAGUUAGAGAGAAUUCUUCCCUGGUGCCCGCCCCCCCACGCCCAGGCGUGGCGAGCGCCAUCUGGGUACUUUGCGUUCGGGUUUCAUCCUGUUCGGUAGAGCUUAUAGGGUGUAUUCUGGGGGGGUGUGAUGCGGUCUUGUUCCGUGUCACCGUCUGUGCUGUGAAGGUGUCUGGAAUCGCGUCUAAUGCGUUGUGUUGUGUUGUGCCCCCCUUUGUCAAAUUUUUUGUCAUUUGGCUGUGUGGCGUCUUUUAUGAACUACUUUGGGGGUCCUGUUAUGUGGUAACUUGGUUACGCUAGUUUUAAUUAGGAUUACAUAAUGUACCUUGUCGCACAUCUAUUGCAAUUGUGUGUCCUGCAUAGGCACGAGUCGGCGAGGGGUCAUGUGUUCCAUGUGUGAUGACUCCCAUCAAGUGAAGGUUGGGAUUAUGAUCUGUGAGAGGGGGUGAUUCCAGGACCCGCCGCCCAGCCAUCCCUCCCACUUAUGUAUUAGUGUACCNNNNNNNNNNNNNNNNNNNNNNNNNNNNNNNNNNNNNNNNNNNNNNNNNNNNNNNNNNNNNNNNNNNNNNNNNNNNNNNNNNNNNNNNNNNNNNNNNNNNAACUACACUAUAUCCACCAUAACUACAACAUAUCCACCAUAACCACAACAUAUCCACCAUAACCACAACAUAUCCACCAUAACUACAACAUAUCCACCAUAACCACAACAUAUCCACCAUAACUACAACAUAUCCACCAUAACCACAACGUAUCCACCAUAACCACAACGUAUCCACCAUAACUACACUAUAUCCACCAUAACCACAACAUAUCCACCAUAACCACAAUAUAGCCACCAUAACCACAACAUAUCCACCAUAACUACAACAUAUCCACCAUAACUACAACAUAUCCACCAUAACUACAACAUAUCCACCAUAACCACAACAUAUCCACCGUAACUACAACAUAUCCACCAUAACUACAACAUAUCCACCAUAACUACAAUAUAUCUCAGGGUCCUGGUAUUAUAACUACAAUAUAUCUCAGGGUCCUGGUAUUAUAACUACAAUAUAUCUCAGGGUCCUGGUACUAUAACUACACUAUAUCUCAGGGUCCUGGUACUAUAACUACACUAUAUCUCAGGGCCUGGUAUUAUAACUACACUAUAUCUCAGGAUCCUGGUAUUAUAACUACAAUAUAUCUCAGGGUCCUGGUAUUAUAACUACAAUAUAUCUCAGGAUCCUGGUAUUAUAACUACAAUAUAUCUCAGGGUCCUGGUAUUAUAACUACAAUAUAUCUCAGGAUCCUGGUAUUAUAACUACAAUAUAUCUCAGGGUCCUGGUAUUAUAACUACACUAUAUCUCAGGAUCCUGGUUUUAUAACUACAAUAUAUCUCAGGGUCCUGGUAUUAUAACUACACUAUACCUCAGGAUCCUGGUAUUAUAACUACACUAUAUCUCAGGGUCCUGGUUUUAUAACUACAAUAUAUCUCAGGGUCCUGGUAUUAUAACUACACUAUACCUCAGGAUCCUGGUAUUAUAACUACACUAUAUCUCAGGGUCCCGGUAUUAUAACUACAAUAUAUCUCAGGGUCCCGGUAUUAUAACUACAAUAUAUCUCAGGGUCCUGGUAUUAUAACUACACUAUAUCUCAGGAUCCUGGUAUUAUAACUACACUAUAUCUCAGGGUCCUGGUAUUAUAACUACACUAUAUCUCAGGAUCCUGGUAUUAUAACUACAAUAUAUCUCAGGGUCCUGGUAUUAUAACUACACUAUAUCUCAGGAUCCUGGUAUUAUAACUACAAUAUAUCUCAGGAUCCUGGUUUUAUAACUACACUAUAUCUCAGGGUCCUGGUAUUAUAACUACACUAUAUCUCAGGAUCCUGGUAUAACUACACUAUAUCUCAGGGUCCUGGUAUUAUAACUACAAUAUAUCUCAGGGUCGGUAUUAUAACACAAUAUAUCUCAGGGUCCUGGUAUAACUACACUAUCUCAGGAUCCUGGUAUUAUCUUUACACUAUAUAUCGGGGUCUGGUAUUGUAACUGCAAUAUAUCUCAGGAUCCUGGUAUUAUAACUACAAUAUAUCUCAGGGUCCUGGUAUUAUAACUACAAUAUAUCUCAGGGUCCUGGUAUUAUAACUACACUAUAUCUCAGGAUCCUGGUAUUAUAACUACAAUAUAUCUCAGGGUCCCGGUAUUAUAACUACAAUAUAUCUCAGGGUCCUGGUACUAUAACUACAAUAUAUCUCAGGAUCCUGGUUUUAUAACUACACUAUAUCUCAGGGUCCCGGUAUUAUAACUACAAUAUAUCUCAGGGUCCCGGUAUUAUAACUACAAUAUAUCUCAGGGUCCUGGUAUUAUAACUACACUAUAUCUCAGGGUCCUGGUAUUAUAACUACACUAUAUCUCAGGGUCCUGGUAUUAUAAAUACAAUAUAUCUCAGGAUCCUGGUAUUAUAACUACAAUAUAUCUCAGGGUCCUGGUAUUAUAACUACAAUAUAUUUUAGGGUCCUGCUAUUAUAACUACAAUAUAUUUCAGGGUCCUGGUAUUAUAACUACAAUAUAUUUUAGGGUCCUGCUAUUAUAACUACAAUAUAUCUCAGGGUCCUGGUAUUAUAACUACAAUAUAUCCACCACAACUACACUAUAUCUCAGGGUCCUGGUAUUAUAACUACAAUAUAUCUCAGGGUCCUGGUACUAUAACUACAAUAUAUCCACCACAACUACAAUAUAUCUCAGGGUCCUGGUAUUAUAACUACAAUAUAUCUCAGGGUCCUGGUACUAUAACUACAAUAUAUCUCAGGGUCCUGGUUUUAUAACUACAAUAUAUCUCAGGGUCCUGGUAUUAUUUUAUUUUAUUUUGCAAAUCUUUUUAUUGAAGGGUAAAAAGUUAGGGAACAGAGAUCGAGGCUCGCAGGCCCCAUAAAAGUAUUUUGGCAUAUUAAAGCGCAAACCGUAUAUCAAUUUAAUACAAUAUAUGAUCAAUAUGAGUGCGAUACAGUGUUUAAUUACAACAUUAUAAGGCAUUACUAUUGUGUAUCCGUCUUGUGCACCUACGGCAUAGGGAUUUCCACCCUUUGAUCAGAGUCAGGCCAUACCCAUGCUUAUAUGAGUGUUUUUAUGUUCUAUGUUUGAGGCCUGACCUCCUCUAUAUGUUUAUGCGUGUGUCAUUUUCUUUCUCCAGCUACAGUUUUUGUAUUCCCGAGCAGGUGGGUUUAUCAGGUGGGAGUGAGUGGUAUGGUUAGAGUAAGGAGAGGAAAGAGAAAAAGAGGGGUAUGUUAAGUUAGAGAGAAUUCUUCCCUGGUGCCCGCCCCCCCACGCCCAGGCGUGGCGAGCGCCAUCUGGGUACUUUGCGUUCUGGUUUCAUCCUGUUCGGUAGAGCUUAUAGGGUGUAUUCUGGGGGGGUGUGAUGUGGUCUUGUUCCGUGUCACCGUCUGUGCUGUGAAGGUGUCUGGAAUCGCGUCUAAUGCGUUGUGUUGUGUUGUGCCCCCCUUUGCCAAGUGUCAAAUUUUUAGUCAUUUGGCUUUGUGGCGUCUUUUAUGAACUACUUUGGGGGUCCUGUUAUGUGGUAACUUGGUUACGCUAGUUUUAAUUAGGAUUACAUAAUGUACUUUGUCGCACAUCUAUUGCAAUUGUGUGUCCUGCAUAGGCACGAGUCGGCGAGGGGUCAUGUGUUCCAUGUGUGAUGACUCCCAUCAAGUGAAGGUUGGGAUUAUGAUCUGUGAGAGGGGGUGAUUCCAGGACCCGCCGCCCAGCCAUCCCUCCCACUUAUGUAUUAGUGUACCUCUUAUCUACCUGUUUAGGGUCCUGGUAUUAUAACUACAACAUAUCUCAGGAUCCUGGUAUUAUAACUACAACAUAUCUCAGGGUCCUGGUAUUAUAACUACAAUAUAUCUCAGGAUCCUGGUAUUAUAACUACACUAUAUCUCAGGAUCCUGGUAUUAUAACUACAAUAUAUCUCAGGGUCCUGGUUUUAUAACUACAAUAUAUCUCAGGGUCCUGGUAUUAUAACUACAAUAUAUCUCAGGGUCCUGGUUUUAUAACUACAAUAUAUCUCAGGGUCCUGGUAUUAUAACUACAACAUAUCUCAGGGUCCUGGUAUUAUAACUACACUAUAUCUCAGGAUCCUGGUAUUAUAACUACACUAGAUCUCAGGAUCCUGGUAUUAUAACUACAAUAUAUCGCAGGGUCCUGGUUUUAUAACUACAAUAUAUCUCAGGGUCCUGGUAUUAUAACUACAAUAUAUCUCAGGGUCCUGGUAUUAUAACUACAAUAUAUCUCAGGGUCCUGGUUUUAUAACUACAAUAUAUCUCAGGGUCCUGGUAUUAUAACUACAAUAUAUCUCAGGGUCCUGGUUUUAUAACUACAAUAUAUCUCAGGGUCCUGGUAUUAUAACUACACUAUAUCUCAGGAUCCUGGUAUUAUAACUACAAUAUAUCUCAGGGUCCUGGUAUUAUAACUACAAUAUAUCUCAGGGUCCUGGUUUUAUAACUACAAUAUAUCUCAGGGUCCUGGUACUAUAACUACAAUAUAUCUCAGGGUCCUGGUAUUAUAACUACAAUAUAUCUCAGAGUCCUGGUACUAUAACUACAAUAUAUCUCCUGGUCCUGGUACUAUAACUACACUAUAUCUCAGGGUCCUGGUAUUAUAACUACAAUAUAUCUCCGGGGCCUGGUACUAUAACUACACUAUAUCUCAGGGUCCUGGUAUUAUAACUACAAUAUAUCUCAGGGUCCUGGUAUUAUAACUACACUAUAUCUCAGGGUCCUGGUUUUAUAACUACAAUAUAUCUCAGGGUCCUGGUAUUAUAACUACACUAUAUCUCCGGGUCCUGGUUUUAUAACUACAAUAUAUCUCCGGGUCCUGGUAUUAUAACUACACUAUAUCUCAGGGUCCUGGUUUUAUAACUACAAUAUACCUCAGGAUCCUGGUAUUAUAACUACAAUAUAUCUCAGGGUCUUGGUAUUACAACUACAAUAUAUCUCAGGGUCCUGGUAUUAUAACUACAAUAUAUCUCAGGGUCCUGGUUUUAUAACUACAAUAUAUCUCAGGGUCCUGAUAUAACUGCAGCUCUACUUUUACAAUUAGACACAUUACAUACCAAAACAUUCCCAUACCUCACUGAACUCCAUAUAAUGCAUUUCUGAUUUCACACAUAUGAGCAUCCACUUGGACACUCACCUACACUUACUGCCAUCACACUCACACACACAUACAGUUACAUGCAUUCAUUUUACCACUGAUCUGGGAGAUGUGGAAUACUGAGAAAGGAAUUAAACAUUCUUGGCCAAAUUAGUUGAAUUUGAAAAAUCUACACCUUUUCCCAGCUUGCCUCUAUUGCUAUUCCAUGUCAAACCUCCUUGCUAAAGAACUGUAGUGUUUAAUUGAAAAAUACAUACUAAAUUAGCGAAGUUGUGCCUAUAGUAAAAUUAGAUAAUUUUUCUAAAUCAGCUAAUUUCACAACUGAUUUUUUUUUUUUUUACCUCCAGAUUACAGGCAGUGCAGAAGAACAGGGAUAUCCACCAUCUCGACAGGAAACUAGAUAGAUUUAGUUAAUCCCUUCCCAAUACUCCUCCCCUCUUAGUCUCACUCAUACACAAACCUGCCUUCUGAAGGGUAGGUGGGCAUUAGUUUUUUCAGGUGCGAUAAGAGGCAACUGAGGGGGCUUCCUCUCUAUCGGGAAAGGAAAGCUCUUAUGGUGGGCCUGCUGCUUCUCUCUUUCCCCGAGUGUUGGAACGCGUUCCACGUGGCGAGGAUGCAUCCGAUGCACAUGCUGGAAGUUUCUGAUGGUAGAACGCACGUAUAGAUUGUGAUUUAUUCCACCAGGAGAUCACAGCACGCUAGGCAAUCUCCAAUAUAAAACACCAAAUUAAAUUCUGGUUGCACUGACCUCAGGUAGAAGAAUUUCAGAGCUUGGAGGUCUUUCCUGCGAAUCUCCUUUUUGAUUCUUCAGGAAGACAGUUAUUCUUCGUAUGGUUCCAGCAUUCAGACCUAAUGUGGUAUCCGCAUUUCAUAUGCAUCAGGACAUCAUCUUGCUAGCCUUUUUCUCUCAUCCUUCAUCUGAAGAAGAGAAAUGGCAUUGUUUGUAUCUGGGUCGUUGUUUGUCUGUAUACCUGAACCGUACUUCUGGUGUAAGGAAAUCCUCUAAUCUGUUCAUCUUUCCUUAGAAACAUAGAAUGUGACGGCAGAUAAGAACCAUUCGGCCCAUCUAGUCUGCCCAAUUUUCUAAAUACUUUCAUUAGUCCCUGGCCUUAUCUUAUAGUUAGGAUAGCCUUAUGCCUAUCCCACGCAUGCUUAAACUCCUUUACUGUGUUAACCUCUACCACUUCAGCUGGAAGGCUAUUCCAUGCAUCCACUACCCUCUCAGUAAAGUAAUACUUCCUGAUAUUAUUUUUAAACCUUUGCCCCUCUAAUUUAAGACUAUGUCCUCUUGUUGUGGUAGUUUUUCUUCUUUUAAAUGUAUUCUCCUCCUUUACUGUGUUGAUUCCCUUUAUGUAUUUAAAUGUUUCUAUCAUAUCCCCCCGUCUUGUCUUUCCUCCAUGCUAUACAUGUUAAGUUCCUUUUUAACCUUUCCUUGUAAGUUUUUAAAGAAACUGGUCUAGGAUUUUGAAUUAGGCACUGAGAGUCAUUUUUUGUUUUGCAGAUACAAAACUCUGUAAAAAAAUACAAUACGAGUGUGAGGAACUGACUCUGCUGUGUUUUGAACCCUGGUUUACAUGCUGCUAAACCUCUUCCUUACCAGUUCACCAGCAUGCCUUUUUAAAAAGUGUAAAAAAAAAAAAAGAGAUACAAGAGGGGUCAGGCUGCUGCUUCUACUUCUAUUGGCCGAUGGAUAAUCUCAGCCAUUAGUCAGGUUUACGCAGCUUCCGGGGUUCCAGUUCCAUCAGGUCUUCGAGCUCAUUCCACCAGAUCAUUGGACUCUUCAUGGGCAGCUGCAGCCAACAUUUUUCCGGAUCACAUUUGUUCAGCAGCAACAUGGUCCUCCCUUCGAGACAUUUAUUUAUCACUAUCAGCUGGACGCAG